UACGGAAGGCAGCAGUGGGGAAUAUUGCACAAUGGGCGAAAGCCUGAUGCAGCUAUGCCGCGUGUAUGAAGAAGGCCUUAGGGUUGUAAAGUACUUUCAUCGGGGAGGAAAAAACAAAACUAAUAAUUUUAUUUCUUGACGUUACCCGAAAAAGAAGCACCGGCUAACUCCGCGCCAGCAGCCGCGGUAAUACGGAGGGUGCUAGCGUUAAUCAGAAUUACUGGGCGUAAAGAGCACGUAGGUGGUUUUUUUAAGUCAGAUGUGAAAUCCCUGGGCUUAACCUAGGAACUGCAUUUUGAAACUGAAAUACUAGAGUAUCGUAGAGGGAGGUAGAAUUCUAGGUGUAGCGGUGAAAUGCGUAGAUAUCUGGAGGAAUACCUGUGGCGAAAGCGGCCUCCUAAACGAAUACUGACACUGAGGUGCGAAAGCGUGGGGAGCAAACAGGGAUUAGAUACC
rnacentral:rRNA from 1 species